UGCUAUGUCAGCUGCCUCACUGCAGUAACCACACACCCUGGAGCUUCCGGGCUUUCCAAAUAUCCUGCCAUACAGCCCUGCAAACCAUCAAAACAUCCUAGGGACUCCAGGUCUCAGCGUCCAAGUCUCCUCCAUGGCUGGUCUCCACCCUUGAACUCCUCACUUGGGAUGGCUCAUGGUUUGGUCACCUAACCACCCCCCACAAUCCCCUCCCUGCAGCCUGCCCCAAUCCCCAGGAGACCUGGCAAGCCCAGAACCUCCUGGGCCAGGCCUGUCCUUGGGUCUAGGCCCCAAAGGCCUCAGAUCCCGUCCUCUCCCACCGUCUGGCCCUCACCGUCUUGGACCAUAGCUGCCCAACUCCCCACUGGCCCGGAGCCAUGGCCCACCUCUGCCCCAAAGGCAAACACUGUGGCACCACCAGCCAGCUCAGGGCCAUGUGCAGGGGGCUCUCUGAGAUGAUGGUUGGAUGAAUGCAGAGGGCAGGGCGAGGGCAGCCGCAGGGUGGGUGGCCUGGGCAGCAAGGCAUGGCAGUGAGUACUCUGGGCCUGGACAAGGGCUGCCAAGGAGCCAGCCACUGGUAAAGGCAGAUUGGGGCAAAUCCCUGGAGGCCCUGAAUGCCAUCCUGAGGGUCACUGACUCCAUCCUAGGGGCAGGGGGCAGACAGCUGAUAGGCAUAGGAGCUGCUGGGUUCUCUCGAGAGACAGAGGAGGCCCUAGGCUGUCUUCCUGACCUCACAAUGGAGCAUGACAGUGGCUGUGAGGGAGAGGAGGAAGCCAGCCUUCCCUAAGCACCUCCUGGGCCCUUCAUCCCAACAUCUCAUUUGUUUUCCUCACCCCACCCCCAAAGUCGGGGCUUAUCAGCCCCUUUGUGCACAAGAAGUGGAGGCCCAGAGGAAAUGGAGCCCAAGGCCACAGCUGGUGAGGGGAUCCUAGCUCACAGUCCUGGGUGCCACACGGCCGGGAAUUCUCGGGCCAGGCCUCGUGGCCACAGUGGUCACUGUCUUCCUCGGGCAGCCCUGUCUGGGUGUUGACACACUUCACCAGGCGCCGCUGGACGCCACCACCGCAUGGGGCUGAGCACUGUGGAGUGCAGAAGGGAUGAGAAAACAGAGGCCUGGACAGGUGAAGCAGGCUGCCCAGAGUCACUCAGCUGCCAGUGGGACAAAGACAGGUUCUCAAACCUCUGAGCUCCAAACAGGCCAGGCAGGCAGGCGUCCUUCCCACCCUGAGGCCUCGCUGGCCACUCUCCCACCCCUUCUGCCACUCUGACCUUUGCGGGGUUCCUGGAGCCCCCCAUGUCCGUCGUUCCUGCCCCAGCACUUCGCCCUUGCUGUUCCCCUUAAAAGCCUCCUUUGCAUCACUGCCUUCUCCAGGUCCCAGCUCUAAACUCCCCUUUUCACGCCUUCCCUGACAUCACAACACAUCCAUUUUUUG